rnacentral:rRNA from 1 species
CUACGGAUGCUGCAGUGGGGAAUAUUGCACAAUGGGCGCAAGCCUGAUGCAGCCAUGCCGCGUGUAUGAAGAGGGCCUUCGGGUUGUAAAGUACUUUCAGCGGGGAGGAAGGGAGUAAAGUUAAUACCUUUGCUCAUUGACGUUACCCGCAGAAGAAGCACCGGCUAACUCCGUGCCAGCAGCCGCGGUAAUACGGAGGGUGCAAGCGUUAAUCGGAAUUACUGGGCGUAAAGCGCACGCAGGCGGUUUGUUAAGUCAGAUGUGAAAUCCCCGGGCUCAACCUGGGAACUGCAUCUGAUACUGGCAAGCUUGAGUCUCGUAGAGGGGGGUAGAAUUCCAGGUGUAGCGGUGAAAUGCGUAGAGAUCUGGAGGAAUACCGGUGGCGAAGGCGGCCCCCUGGACGAAGACUGACGCUCAGGUGCGAAAGCGUGGGGAGCAAACAGGAUUAGAUACCCCAGUAGUC